rnacentral:rRNA from 1 species
AUUGAACGCUGGCGGCAUGCCUUACACAUGCAAGUCGAACGCGAAAGAGGGGCAACCCUUGAGUAGAGUGGCGAACGGGUGAGUAACGCAUCGGAACGUAUCCAGUAGUGGGGGAUAACCCAGCGAAAGAUGGGCUGAUACCGCAUACGACCCGAGGGGGAAAGUGGGGGAUCCGCAAGGACCGCACGCUAUUGGAGCGGCCGAUUUCCGAUUAGCUGGUUGGCGGGGUAAGAGGCCACCAAGGCGACGAUCGGUAGCUGGUCGGAGAGGAUGAUCAGCCACACUGGGACUGGGACACGGCCCAGACUCCUACGGGAGGCAGCAGUGGGGAAUUUUGGACAAUGGGGGCAACCCUGAUCCAGCCAUGCCGCGUGAGUGAAGAAGGCCUUCGGGUCGUAAAGCACUUUCGGCCGGAACGAAAUCGCCUUCGUUAAUAGCGGGGGUGGAUGACGGUACCGGAAGAAGAAGCACCGGCUAACUACGUGCCAGCAGCCGCCGCGGUAA